rnacentral:rRNA from 1 species
UACGUAGGGGGCAAGCGUUGACCGGAUUCAUUGGGCGUAAAGAGCGUGUAGGCGGCCAGGUAGGUCGGUUGUGAAAACUGGAGGCUCAACCUUCAGACGUCGACCGAAACCCCCUGGCUAGAGUCCGGGAGAGGAGAGUGGAAUUCCUGGUGUAGCGGUGGAAUGCGCAGAUAUCAGGAAGAACACCCGUGGCGAAAGCGGCUCUCUGGAACGGUACUGACGCUGAGACGCGAAAGCGUGGGGAGCGAACAGG